AUGAAGGUUUCAAGAGAAUCAGCCCCCGGUGGGCUGCUGUCUCUGCAUGGCUUAGAGGGGUGGGACAAGGAACAUCACCUGACCCAAACUAGGGCUGAGCAUGUUUCCCCAGCUGGAGGAGAGGGUUUCCAGGAAGAGCCUGUCCCAAGGAAGAAUUUUUUUGCUUCAGCCUGGCAUGACCUACCACAGAGAAAUCAACACAGAGGACUUCUGGGAUCAAAUGUGGGGGUUUCUCCCCAUCAGCAAGUAAGCAAUCAGUUGUGCAGUGAACACCAGCUGGGCAUCCUCCAAUCCAAUUCACUUCUGAUGCUAUCUACCUGGAGAGAGUGUCAGCCCCUACUCUUGAUGCCAAUCACAGGCCCCAGGUUGUUUUAACCUGUGCUUGACUGACCAG
rnacentral:lncRNA from 1 species